UCUGGGGAGGUGACAGAGUCCUUGAGAGCUGUGUGCUCUCAUUUUUUGCUUCAGCCCCACUACACACUCUGAGGCCGAAGUCAUCACAACACCAUUUUCUCUGGCUCCAAGUCAGGCCCAGGCUCUCCUCCCACCAACUACUGAGUGCCACACUGGACGGCUGCUGCACUCAGGAGAUGUGAGAGGACAGGAAGAGGCCCAACCCGGCAAAGGUGAAAUCGGUGAGUUGUACCUCUGGAAGCUGACUCAGGACUGGUGGCUGUCUGUGUGGAGAAGCCAGGCCGGAGCAGCAUGCUAUGACAGUGUGUGUACUACAGACUUGUGCUGGAAAUGGCGACACAAACGUAGCUAAUGCCUGAACACCUGGGAAGUCACAAACCAGCCCAGCAGCCAAAACAGACAUGUUAACCCUCUGGAAACACCCUCACAGACAUGUGAUGGACCACCCACAUUCAAGGUAGGUCUUCCCUCCUCAGUUAACAUCAUGGAAACACCCUCACAGACAUAUAGGAUGGACUGCCCACAUUCAAGGUAG